ensembl:ncRNA Y59A8B.29 ncRNA
GGCUGGUAUAUAUAUAUAUAUAUAUACAUAUAUAUUUAUAUAUAUACAAC